AUUUAAAUAGCUUAUAAAUAGAGCAUAAUAUUGAAGAUAUUAGGGAAGAUAUUGAUCUUUUAAAUA
rnacentral:tRNA from 1 species